UUAUUGGGUAGGGGCAAUGUUGAGAGAUUGUCAGAAUACAUCAAACAAAUCAAUUUUUGUAUUGUUGGCCUGAACAUCCAAACCGUGUUUUGCAAUGAUGGAUUCGAAUAAGUUCGACUUAUUUUUGUGUUGUUUUUGAAGUGGGUAAGUUUUCAUGACCACCUCUAAGUACCAUUCAAAGAAAAAUAAAACUUGACAUAAUUAACACAAACAUAUAUUUUUUUUAACAUGUGUAGUGUGCUGGUACCAAAGGCUUCAGAACUUUCAUCUAUGAAGACCCACUUGCUAAUCCCACCAAUGGCCACCAUGCACAGAAAAGACCAUGAUGUGGAGGACAUAUGUGCUUAGUUAUUAGUGUCGGGACAGAAUACGUUUAGAAAAUGAUCAUGCCUCGGUCAAAUCAAAGGAGUUCCCUCGGUCUUUCAGAGAGAUGGCAGAGAAUUCAUUCAACAUGAAGAUGAUGUGCACAUAAUAUACUUCACUUUUAGGAAUGCUCUUUAUUUCUAUCAAUGAUGCAAGUGUUUAUUCAAGAUCAUGUCA